GUAGGUGGCAAGCGUUGUCCGGAAUUAUUGGGCGUAAAGCGCGCGCAGGCGGGUUCUUUAAGUCUGAUGUGAAAGCCCACGGGCUCAACCGUGGAGGGUCAUUGGAAACUGGAGAACUUGAGUACAGAAGAGGAAAGCGGAAUUCCACGUGUAGCGGUGAAAUGCGUAGAGAUGUGGAGGAACACCAGUGGCGAAGGCGGCUUUCUGGUCUGUAACUGACGCUGAGGCGCGAAAGCGUGGGGAGCAAACAGGAUUAGAUACCCUGGUAGUCCACGCCGUAAACGAUGAGUGCUAAGUGUUAGGGGGGUUUCCGCCCCCUUAGUGCUGCAGCUAACGCAUUAAGCACUCCGCCUGGGGAGUACGGCCGCAAGGCUG
rnacentral:rRNA from 1 species